rnacentral:lncRNA from 1 species
AGAAGGAACGUGACUUCCACGAGGCAGCCGCCGGGCUGGCGGGCCCCACGUUCAGGGUUGUGUCUCGGCUGAAAAAAAGGCACGCCCGAACGCUGGGCAGGGAUUACCCGGCCGGACCCGGGAUUGGAAGGGGGCUCGAAGACGCCUUAGCCCCCCGUGAAGAAAAGGCUUCCCUCCCUCCCAGCUCCAAAUACGGUCCCUGUGAUCUGAGAACAUUACGGCGGGCAUAGAGUCGUCUUUUCUUUAAUGGCCGUGUAGUCGCGGCACAGCCGAGGGUUUCUGGAAUUGCCUUAAACGUAUGCGUUUGAAGAGCGUACCCUUUUGUCGGAGCAGUCACCUUGGAGGGACCACGCAGGCUAUGGCAGCCCGGGUUCAGCAUGUUUAGGGCGAGGGUGUGCUCCAUGGGGACCUGCCUUCUGAUCCGUUUUACCAGGCAUAUAUUUAAAAAAAUGUGUCUUCCUUUCCAAGUAUUCACAUCUUUUUCUACUGACCACAAAUCAGAUUUAAUUCAACUCACAUUUAUUGAACAAGCUAGCCUGUUUUGUUUUUUCACUUUAUUCCUGCAACAGCCACGUGAUAGAGGGAUUACUAUCCACGUUUCACAAACGAUAAAAUUGAGGCUGCCACCUGAUGUUACUGAAGUCCUCCACCCACCUUCUUUCGUUCUUUUUUAAGCGUCUACUAUCGGCUGGGGAUGGAAUAGUUCGCGAGUCAGUUUCUGCCUUCUGAUGGAGGCAGAAAUUUAAACAGCCAACACGGUUUCGGUCCCAGAGGUAAAGAGAAAGGGAAGUCCACACUCUGGGUUUAUGGCCUUGAAGUCGAGCAAGCUAUACUAAGAGAACAGAGUAAGUACACCCAGAUACUAUUGUCCCCCUCCUCUUGCCAUUCCUCAAACAUGCCACACCUUGCUCCAGUGGACAAUGGGUACUGGCAUCGUACUGCAGGCACAGACUGAAGUUUAACUGUGGGCCCUCAAGCAAAGUGUAUGAAAAUGUAUAAAUGUACUUUGUAAGCUGCAUGGUGUGCCAGGACCUAAGCUCUGUCAUACCAGGCACUAUGUUAGUCAGCAUGAUCCUUGCUUCAACAAGUUCUCAGUCCAGAGAAAAACAGACUUACAUAUUUGUGAUACAGUAUAUUAAAUGCCACAGUGGAGAGAUGAACCAAGUGCUGUGGGAGCACCCACUGUCUGGGCUUAGACCUGGAAGAGGAGGUGGAGGGAUCAGCAAUGGAUUCACACCUGAUGUUAGCCACAGCUGUGGGCAGGCUCCUGGGAAGUGCUGGGAGGAUUUAGGAUUAGUUAACACUACAUAUAAACAGUAUGUAUUUCUAUUACAAGAUACAUGUUCAAGGUAGAAAAUUCAAGCUUAAAUAAGGCAACUGAAAAGUCUCUUUGCUAUCUCUACUCUGCAGAAGUAUUAUCCACAGUCUGCUAUAUAUCACUGCAGAGAUUCCUGAAAGUCAUUCAAAAUAAACAGUAACAUGCUUACAUAAAUUACUACAUCUUGACUGUCACUUAACUUACCUUAGAAAUCUUGCCAACACAUCCAGAUCUACCUCUUUAUUUUGUUAAGGCUGUAUAGUAUUCCACUGAAGAGAAUGGAACCUCUACGUGUGUAAGACUUGGCUGCAAUGCAAGCAGCUUUGCCUUUGUACUGGACUGGAAUGGACUGGAGCCAGACAUUCUCUCCACUCCUGGCCUUUUCAGCUGGCAGAGCUUCUGAGUUUCAGGACAGGGAACAUACAGUGUCACAUGCCCAGCAGGCACAUAAAUAUUUGCUGCCAAAUCUCCAGUGUUCCCCAGACCCAUAUUUUCAUGUAAAACCUCUUUUCUCUUGCCUGGACUACUACUGCAGUAGACUCCUCACUGGCCUCCAGCCCAUCCUCCACAAUGCUGCUAGAAUCAUCUUCUGAACAUGAAAAUUCAUCUACAGUAUUCUGCUGAAAAUCCUUAAGUGGUUCAUAUUGGCCUGAUUCUUUUUUGGAGGGUCAGUGCCCCUUUUGAGAAUCUCAGGAGCACAGUGGACUCCUUCCCCAAAAGGGAAAAAUUACUUCAUGCCUGAAAGUCAGCCUCUGCCCUCAGAAUAACAUAUGAACUGCUAAACUUGGCACUGGCUUUCACUACUGGCCCUGGCCUCUCUCCAACCUUCUCACCAUUUGCUUUUCAUAUCUUCCUGCUUCAGUCAUAUUGAAUUAUUUGCAGCUUCCUCUACACUUCCUGCUGUUUCCUGCCUUUGUGACUUUGCAUAGGCUGUUCCCUCUGCCUGGAAUGCCCUGCCCAGUUUUAGCCACCUGACAAGUUAUAUUCUUUCUUGUACUAAACUGAAGCAUCAUCUCUUCUGUAGUCUACUCAACCACUCUGGGAAGAUCCGGGCAUUUAUGCUUUCCUCACCUUGUUCUAAAACCUCCAAUACAGGGCUUUAUUGUACUGUAAUUGUCAGUUCUCCCAAGAGACUGAGUUCCUUGAAGGAUGGAACUGACUUUUCAAAUCUGUAGCCUCAUAUGCAGCAUGGGAACUAUCUUAAUUCAUCAGCGCUUAGUUGUGGAAUGAAUAGAGGACCAGCCCAACUGCCACCAACACAUAUUUCCUAAUCUUCCCCUACGGGAAUGUCUCGCAUCUAUAGGUAAUUCUAGAAUGAAACACAGUGUUUCCUAAACCUUAGUCAUUCAAAUAGCAUCUUCACAACUGUUACAAUAUCUAUCAUCCACAGGUACAAUUUAUUUUUUAAGCUAAUCACUAUUUGAACUUCAAUAUUGCCUCACUAUAAGCUGUAAUAACUGUAAAAUGAUGUAUUGUGCUAAUUCCGUAUUUUUUCCUAAGAUCCAAAUAUUAAAAUAAAAGACAGUCAUCCCACCACUAACUAAAGUAGUGUUUCCCACACUUCUCUAUUAAGAAGCAUGUGAGAUACUUGUUACAAACAUAACAUCCUGGUCCCACCCCAAAGCCACUCAAUCAAAUACUCCAGGGAAGGGAUCUAGGAAUUCGUAGGUUUAACGAGUGCCCCAAAAUGAUUAUUACCUGUUGGAGAAUCUAGGCAACAAUGAAUUAAGGAAAGCUCUCUACCAUUUGGUACUGGUACCAGGUUUGAGGAUCACAGGGAAGAGGGUAAGCAUAUCAGACUAGCAGAGCUGCCAGAACUCGGGCUUUCAAAAGAGAGGUGCCACCCUCUCCCAUGUCCAUGUAAGUAGCAAACAACCCAUUCAGACUACAGCAGGAGAAUCCUGAGUGUAGAGGUUCAUUUAUGCUAUACAUAACCAAAUUCAUCAUAAAAAGUUUUCCAAGGGCUGGGCACGGUGGUUCAUGCCUGUAAUUCCAGCACUUUGGGAGGCUGAGGUGGGAAGAUCGCUUGAAGCCAGGAGUUUGAGACCGGCCUGGACAACAUGGUGAAACCCCAUCUCUAAAAAGUUAGCUGGGUGUGGUGCUGCACGCCUAUAAUCCCACCUACUAAGGAGGCUGAGGUGGGAGGAACACUUGAGCCAGGGAGGUCGAGGCUGCAGUGAGCUGUGACUGCGCCACUGCACUCCAGCCUGGGUGACAGAGUAAGACCCUGUCUAAAAAAAAAAACUCUCCCAGAACUCACUGAGAUAAAACCAAGGUUUCUAUAACUAAAGUUGUACAGACCAGGCAUGGUGGCUCACGCCUGUAAUCCCAGUACUUUGGGAAGUCAAGGCGGGCAGAUCACAUGAGAUCAGGAGUUUGAGACGAGCCUGGCUAACUUGGUGAAACCCUGUCUCUACUAAAAAUACAAAAAAAUUAGCCAGACGUGGUGGAGCAUGCCUGUGAUCCCUGCUAUUCGGGAGGCUGAGGCAUGAGAAUCGCUUGAACCUGGGAGGCGGAGGUUGCAGUGAGCUGAGAUCGUGCCACUGCACUCCAGCCUGGGCAACGGAGUGAGAUUCUGUCUUAAAAAAAAAAAAAAUUGUACACAAAACUUCAUUUUCACUAAAACCAAAGUCAGAACCUAGGAAGGCAAAACACAAAGGUUCUGGAAAGAAGUGCUCCAUAGGGAGGUAGAAUUGAUCAAGUGACCCGUCUUCUAUCUCCUUCUUAGCUGUUUCACUGCAUAUGUCCAGUGCCUGGGCACAAGGCCUCAAAUGCAGGAUUAGGUGAUACCUUGAUGUGAAUGCAAUGGAUUCCUGCUGGACUAGUGCCACCAAGAGAGUACUUCCUCUUGGUCUUUUUUUUUUUGGAAUAUGGCAAGUUCUCAAUUAAAAGAUAGACUCUUAUCCCCUAUUGACUUGCCUCACAGUCUGCAUCAGCAUCACCUGAGAGCUGAUUAGAAAUGCAAAAUCUCAGUCCCCAUCCAAACCCACUGAGUCAGAACCACUAUUUUAUAACAAAUCUCCUGGAGAUCCGUAUGAACGUUAAAGUAUAAGAAAUACUGCCCGGCCAGGCAUGGUGGCUUAUGCCUGUAAUCCCAGCACUUUGGGAGUCCGAGGCGGAUGGAUCAUGAGGUCAGGAGUUUGAGACCAGCCUGGCCAAGAUGGUGAAACCCUGUCUCUACUAAAAAAUACAAAAAUUAGCUGGGUGCGGUGGUGGGCACCUGUAAUCCCAGCUACUCGGGAGGCUGAGGCAGGAGAAUUGCUUGAACCUGGGAGGCAGAGUCUGCAGUGAGCCGAGAUCGCGCC